rnacentral:rRNA from 1 species
UCCUACGGGAGGCAGCAGUGGGGAAUCUUGCGCAAUGGGCGAAAGCCUGACGCAGCGACGCCGCGUGGGGGAAGAAGGCCUUCGGGUUGUAAACCUCUUUCAGCAGGGACGAAGCCACUCGGGUUAAUAGCCCAGAGGGUGACGGUACCUGCAGAAGAAGCCCCGGCUAACUACGUGCCAGCAGCCGCGGUAAUACGUAGGGGGCAAGCGUUGUCCGGAUUUAUUGGGCGUAAAGAGCGUGUAGGCGGCCGCACAGGUCCGUUGUGAAAACUGGAGGCUUAACCUUCAGACGUCGAUGGAAACCGUGCGGCUAGAGUCCGGAAGAGGAGAAUGGAAUUCCUGGUGUAGCGGUGAAAUGCGCAGAUAUCAGGAAGAACACCCGUGGCUAAGGCGGUUCUCUAGUACGGUACUGACGCUGAGACGCGAAAGCGUGGGGAGCGAACAGGAUUAGAUACCCUGGUAGUCCACGCCGUAAACGAUGGGUGCUAGGUGUGGGGGGUGUCGACUCCCUCCGUGCCGAAGCUAACGCAUUAAGCACCCCGCCCUGGGGAGUACGGCCGCAAGGCUAAAACUCAAAGGAAUUGACGGGGGCCCCGCACAAGCAGCGGAGCAUGUGGUUUAAUUCGACGCAACGCGAAGAACCUUACCCAAGGCUUGACAUGGUCGGGAAAGCCGUAGAAAUACGGCCCUCCUUCGGGACUCGAUCACAGGUGGUGCAUGGCUGUCGUCAGCUCGUGUCGUGAGAUGUUGGGUUAAGUCCCGCAACGAGCGCAACCCUCGUUCUAUGUUGCCAGCACGUGAUGGUGGGGACUCAUAGGAGACUGCCGGGGUCAACUCGGAGGAAGGUGGGGAUGACGUCAAAUCAUCAUGCCCCUUAUGUCUUGGGCUUCACGCAUGCUACAAUGGCCAGUACAAAGGGCUGCGAUACCGUAAGGUGGAGCGAAUCCCAAAAAACUGGUCUCAGUUCGGAUUGGGGUCUGCAACUCGACCCCAUGAAGUCGGAGUCGCUAGUAAUCGCAGAUCAGCAACGCUGCGGUGAAUACGUUCCCGGGCCUUGUACACACCGCCAU